rnacentral:lncRNA from 1 species
CCCACAAUGGACUAGUUUUACAUUACAUCCCAUAAGGUGCAUUGAAGUAAAACAAGUUUUAAUAGUUUACAUCAUAAUUUGCACAGCAAAAAUAUUAUCCAAAACACAAUCAUUGUAUCGACAUACAACAGUUCCCAAUAGAGUAGUGUUGAUGCUCAAACAACUCUAGUUUUUUCAUUAGCUUUUGGUGAUUUUGACCUUAAAUACUGUAGUAAAGCGCUUCUAUGUUGAAGUAGUCUAGAGAUUGCUUGCUUUCUCUUCCAUUUCAUGCCUUUACUUGGUUUAUAACCAAGAUCACCAGUCACUACAUCUGAACUGUCCAUUGUUCUGUCCACUAUCAAUUACCCUACUAACAUGCAUCUCUUGCUGAAAAUUAAGUUUAAAAAAUAGAUAUCAAACAAUAUAGUUUAACUUGCAACCUCAAAAUUAGCAAGAAAACUGCUAAUUACCUCAACACAUGUAUAAAUACUUUUGCUAAAAAAUACUCUGUGUCGCCACAACUCUUGGCCUCUUAAAUGGGGUAAAAGCAUUUCUGUUGCUUGCUUGAGAUUUUUGCACAUAUGAAACCUGAGAAUGCUAGACAUCUGAAACUUCAGAUUGUUGCACAUAUGAGUUUUGUGAGUUCUGCACCAUGUUGCUUUUGCUUCUUCCUUUACCACCCUUAGCUUUAGCAUUCUUCUUACUAGUAUAUACUUGGGAUUCAACAUUUGAUCUCUUUUUAGAGGUUGAUUUUUGUGA